GCCAGACUCCUACGGGAGGCAGCAGUGGGGAAUAUUGCACAAUGGGGGGAACCCUGAUGCAGCGACGCCGCGUGGGUGAAGGAGCACCUCGGUGCGUAAAGCCCUCUCGGCAGGGAAGAAACAGACGGUACCUGACUAAGAAGCCCCGGCUAACUACGUGCCAGCAGCCGCGGUAAUACGUAGGGGGCAAGCGUUAUCCGGAUUUACUGGGUGUAAAGGGAGCGCAGGCGGCGCGCCAAGUCUGAUGUGAAACCCCGGGGCUCAACCCCGGGCAUGCAUUGGAAACUGGCGGGCUGGAGUGCCGGAGAGGUAAGCGGAAUUCCUAGUGUAGCGGUGAAGUGCGUAGAUAUUAGGAGGAACACCAGUGGCGAAGGCGGCUUACUGGACGGCAACUGACGCUGAGGCUCGAAAGCGUGGGGAGCAAACAGGAUUAGAUACCCGUGUAC
rnacentral:rRNA from 1 species